rnacentral:rRNA from 1 species
AUCUGUCUUAGUGGCGGACGGGUGAGUAACGCGUGGGCAACCUGCCCUGUACCGGGGGAUAACACUUAGAAAUAGGUGCUAAUACCGCAUAAUAGGGAAUACCGCAUGGUAAUCCUUUGAAAACUCCGGUGGUACAGGAUGGGCCCGCGUCUGAUUAGCUGGUUGGCAGGGUAACGGCCUACCAAGGCGACGAUCAGUAGCCGGCCUGAGAGGGCGGACGGCCACACUGGGACUGAGACACGGCCCAGACUCCUACGGAAGGCAGCAG